rnacentral:rRNA from 1 species
CCUACGGGUGGCAGCAGUGAGGAAUAUUGGUCAAUGGACGCAAGUCUGAACCAGCCAUGCCGCGUGCAGGAUGACGGCUCUAUGAGUUGUAAACUGCUUUUGUACGAGGGUAAACUCCGAUACGGGUAUCUGUCUGAAAGUAUCGUACGAAUAAGGAUCGGCUAACUCCGUGCCAGCAGCCGCGGUAAUACGGAGGAUCCGAGCGUUAUCCGGAUUUAUUGGGUUUAAAGGGUGCGUAGGCGGUUUGAUAAGUUAGAGGUGAAAUGUCGGGGCUCAACGCCGGAACUGCCUCUGAUACUGUUGGGCUAGAGAGUAGUUGCGGUAGGCGGAAUGUAUGGUGUAGCGGUGAAAUGCUUAGAGAUCAUACAGAACACCGAUUGCGAAGGCAGCUUACCAAACUAUAUCUGACGUUGAGGCACGAAAGCGUGGGUAGCAAACAGGAUUAGAUACCCUUGUAGUC